rnacentral:lncRNA from 1 species
GCCUGGCCAGCAUGGUAAAACGCUGUUUCUACUGAAAACACAAAAAUUAGCUAGGCGUGGUGGUUUGUACCUAUAGUCUCAGCUACUCAGGAGACAAAUGAUUUACUAAACCGAAAUUUAUUUUUUAAUUUAAUUUAUUUUAUUUUUUAAUUAUACUUUAAGUUCUAGGGUACAUGUGCACAAUGUGCAGGUUUGUUACAUAUGUGUACAUGUGCCAUGUUGGUGUGCUGCACCCAUUAACUCGUCAUUUACCUUAGGUAUAUCUCCUAAUGCUAUCCCUCUCCCCUCCCCCAACCCCACGACAGGUCCCGGUGUGUGAUGUUCCCCACCCUGUGUCCAAGUGUUCUCAUUGUUCAAUUCCCACCUAUGAGUGAGAACAUGUGGUGUUUGGUUUUCUGUCCUUGUGAUAGUUUGCUCAGAAUAAUGGUUUCUAGCUUCAUCCAUGUCCCUACAAAGGACAUGAACUCAUCCUUUUUUAUGGCUGCAUAGUAUUCCAUGGUGUAUAUGUGCCACAUUUUCUAAAUCCAGUCUA